rnacentral:rRNA from 1 species
UUGCUAGGAGGCGUCGAGCGGCGGACGGGUGAGUAAUGCAUAGGAAUCUGCCCGGUAGUGGGGGAUAACCUGGGGAAACCCAGGCUAAUACCGCAUACGCCCUACGGGGGAAAGCAGGGGAUCUUCGGACCUUGCGCUAUCGGAUGAGCCUAUGUCGGAUUAGCUUGUUGGUGAGGUAAUGGCUCACCAAGGCGACGAUCCGUAGCUGGUCUGAGAGGAUGAUCAGCCACAUCGGGACUGAGACACGGCCCGAACUCCUACGGGAGGCAGCAGUGGGGAAUAUUGGACAAUGGGCGAAAGCCUGAUCCAGCCAUGCCGCGUGUGUGAAGAAGGCUUUCGGGUUGUAAAGCACUUUCAGUGAGGAAGAACGCCUUCGGGUUAAUACCCCGGAGGGAAGACAUCACUCACAGAA